CUCUGUGACUCCUACGGGAGGCAGCAGUGGGGAAUAUUGCACAAUGGGCGCAAGCCUGAUGCAGCCAUGCCGCGUGUAUGAAGAAGGCCUUCGGGUUGUAAAGUACUUUCAGCAGUGAGGAAGGUGGUAGUGUUAAUAGCACUAUCAUUUGACGUUAGCUGCAGAAGAAGCACCGGCUAACUCCGUGCCAGCAGCCGCGGUAAUACGGAGGGUGCGAGCGUUAAUCGGAAUUACUGGGCGUAAAGCGCAUGCAGGUGGUUUGUUAAGUCAGAUGUGAAAGCCCGGGGCUCAACCUCGGAAUUGCAUUUGAAACUGGCAGACUAGAGUACUGUAGAGGGGGUAGAAUUUCAGGUGUAGCGGUGAAAUGCGUAGAGAUCUGAAGGAAUACCGGUGGCGAAGGCGGCCCCCUGGACAGAUACUGACACUCAGAUGCGAAAGCGUGGGGAGCAAACAGGAUUAGAUACCCUGGGA
rnacentral:rRNA from 1 species